rnacentral:hammerhead_ribozyme from 1 species
AUCCAUCUGACGAGUCCCAAAAAGGACGAAACGCGCGUCCUGGAU